UACUGGCAGUAUUUGGCGGAAAUCGCCAGA
rnacentral:sRNA from 1 species